GACGAACGCUGGCGGCGUGCUUAACACAUGCAAGUCGAACGGAAAGGCCCUGCUUUUGUGGGGUGCUCGAGUGGCGAACGGGUGAGUAACACGUGAGUAACCUGCCCUUGACUUUGGGAUAACUUCAGGAAACUGGGGCUAAUACCGGAUAGGAGCUCCUGCUGCAUGGUGGGGGUUGGAAAGUUUCGGCGGUUGGGGAUGGACUCGCGGCUUACCAGCUUGUUGGUGGGGUAGUGGCUUACCAAGGCUUUGACGGGUAGCCGGCCUGAGAGGGUGACCGGCCACAUUGGGACUGAGAUACGGCCCAGACUCCUACGGGAGGCAGCAGUGGGGAAUAUUGCACAAUGGGUGGGAGCCUGAUGCAGCAACGCCGCGUGCGGGAUGACGGCCUUCGGGUUGUAAACCGCUUUCGUCUGUGACGAAGCGUGAGUGACGGUAAUGGGUAAAGAAGCACCGGCUAACUACGUG
rnacentral:rRNA from 1 species